rnacentral:rRNA from 1 species
UACGUAGGGGGCAAGCGUUGUCCGGAUUCAUUGGGCGUAAAGAGCGUGUAGGCGGCCUGGAAGGUCAGCUGUGAAAACUCGAGGCUCAACCUCGAGACGCCGAUGGAAACCAUCUGACUAGAGUCCGGAAGAGGAGAGUGGAAUUCCUGGUGUAGCGGUGAAAUGCGCAGAUAUCAGGAAGAACACCCGUGGCUAAGGCGGCUCUCUAGUACGGUACUGACGCUGAGACGCGAAAGCGUGGGGAGCGAACAGG